rnacentral:rRNA from 1 species
CCCCGCACAAGCAGCGGAGCGUGUGGUUUAAUUCGAAGCAACGCGAAGAACCUUACCAGAUCUUGACAUCCAAUUGACCAUUCUUUUAAUCGAGUAUUUUGCCUUCGGGUACAAUUGAGACAGGUGGUGCAUGGUUGUCGUCAGCUCGUGUCGUGAGAUGUUGGGUUAAGUCCCGCAACGAGCGCAACCCUUGUGUUUAGUUGCAAACAGGUCAAGCUGUGCACUCUAGACAGACUGCCGUGGACAACACGGAGGAAGGUGGGGAUGACGUCAAAUCAUCAUGCCCCUUAUGAUCUGGGCUACACACGUGCUACAAUGGCCGGUACAACGGGCAGCGAAGGAGCGAUCCGGAGCGAAUCCUAAAAAGCCGGUCCCAGUUCGGAUUGCAGGCUGAAACUCGCCUACAUGAAGUUGGAGUUGCUAGUAAUCGCGAAUCAGAAUGUCGCGGUGAAUGCGUUCCCGGGUCUU